AACGAACGCUGGCGGCAUGCCUAACACAUGCAAGUCGAACGAGACCUUCGGGUCUAGUGGCGCACGGGUGCGUAACGCGUGGGAACCUGCCCUUAGGUUCGGAAUAACUCCCCGAAAGGGGUGCUAAUACCGGAUAAUGUCUUCGGACCAAAGAUUUAUCGCCUUUGGAUGGGCCCGCGUUGGAUUAGCUAGUUGGUAGGGUAAAAGCCUACCAAGGCGACGAUCCAUAGCUGGUCUGAGAGGAUGAUCAGCCACACUGGGACUGAGACACGGCCCAGACACAUAGGGGAGGAGGAAGGGGGGAAUAUUGAAAAAGGGGGAAAGGCUUGACCGAGAAAGGCGGGGGGAGAAAGGAAGGAGUGGGGGUAAAAAAGCUUUUUGACCGGGGAAAAAAAGAAAGGUACGGGAAAAAUAAGCCCCGGCUAACCCCGUG
rnacentral:rRNA from 1 species